rnacentral:lncRNA from 1 species
GACAGAAGUUGUCACUGAUGGAUUCCAGAAGGAGUCUCUGUCACCAUGAAGAAAAGAACAUGCCUGGGUUGCCCACAGGAACAAGGAGAAGGAUGGGAGACAGGUGAACAGACAGAGGCUCCCUGACCAAGUCCAGCCUAGAUGUCAAGACAGCUGCAGACAUGGCACCUCUGUCAUAGGAUCCCCCCUGCCAAUGGGUCUUUGAAAGAAGAGGCAGUUCUUACAUCCCACAUAUAUACAGAUGAUUCCAGGUGCCCUCGGCAGUCUCUCUUCCAGGCAGAACGGACAUACCAGAUGACUCAUCUGAAAGUUUACAAGCAGAAUUUCUUCAAACAUUCCUUGCCGUCAUGCCUGAAAAUUAGCAUUUUUAUAGUCUCUUAUUUCAUGGACACCAAAACUGGAGGUAUUGUUUUCGCAAGAAAAAAGCAAACUAUUUUUAGCUUGCAGAGGGAACAAGAUGAUAUAUGCUGCGGUUGUCAACUGUCUUUUAAAAUGUAUGUAGCACACUGGAACUCAUAAAUAUUUAAAAGGACUAAAUAAUUAUCUAAUGUUCCCCAGCCUUCUUUUUCAAAUGAUCAUUUCCACAGGGAGCAAGGGAGCAUUUGUUCUCUGUCAACUGUCCAGACACAAUUAUCAUCUUCGAAAACGUGUCCCUCCUGUUUGUUGCUGGUUUUGUCAUUUUUGACUCACUACUCAGGUCCCCUUCUUCAUCUCCCCCACUGGUUUCAAUGCCACACAUUUGGCAUGUGUGCAAAAUACUUCCAUCAGAGGCUCUCUGCUAGAGGCUCUGACAUCCGGGGCACCUGCUCGAGAGCCGUCAUAAACAGAGGUCGGGGAUACACCGAGUACAGGUUUCCUCCUCCUGAAAUGUCAGGGGAUCCUCUGGGCAAAGAAGCGUGACAGAUAACGUCUCAGCCAUCUGGGACAUUCUUAGAAUGUGUCUAUGGGAUAAGAGGUUUUCCUGGCUGAGAAAGAAUAGGAAUAGAAAACAGAAAGAGCCAAGGAACUGUAGUUCUGUCUUGGCCACUUACUAACUGUGUAACUCUAAUGCACUUAUUACAAAGCAAGGCUUUAUAAUAGCUAUCUUGCAAGUUUAUUGUGGGAAUUAAAAUAACGUAUUAAAAAUUAGGUUAAAAAAAGAGCCCAGUACCAGACACCUAGUAGAAGCUCAAUAAUUGGAAAUGAUGUUCACUUUUAUCUUAUUAUGAUCUCCUCUUUUAAGUAACAUAAUAUUGAAAAUUAUUUCAGGAAAAGUGGUUUUAAAAAUACUUCACAUAUGUUACUAUUGUCAGUACAGUGAAAAAAAAAAGUAUGUGUUUAAUUUCCUUGAUGUCACCAUUAUUAGCACGAGUUACAGUUACUAGCUGUGGGACCUAGAUGACCCUCAGGCUUACUGAAAUAUGUAGAGAUGAUUGUCCUGCACUAACUGCUGUUGGGCUUCCCUGCUGGCUCAGUGGUAAAGAAUACGCUUGCGAAUAUAGGAGACACAGGCUCAUUUGCUGGGUCGGGAAGAUCCCCUGAAGAAGGAAAGGCAGCCCACACCAGUAUUCUUGUCUGGCAAAUCCCACAGACAGAGGAACCCUGUGGGCUACAUGUCCAUGGGGUCACAAAGAAUCGGACACAACUUAGUGGUUUAUCAACAACAACAUGGGCUGUGACGCAUUCUAUUUGAUCUGCUUCUAUGUUUCCUGUCUUCUCUAUUUCUAUGUUAUAUCUCAGGCAUGUGUUUGCUCACAGCAAACUCUCUUAUUGCAUUUCUGCCUCCAAGUUGAUAUGUAUGUAUAAAACAGAUCUCCAAGCUUGGCAGGAUUGCAAAUAUUCAGGAGUGCUGUUCCUUGGAAUUGGGAAGACAAUAUAUCAUAUAAGUUCUACUGAUAAUAACACCUAGAAAAAAAUUUGAUGAAAAAUAAUAAACAAGAUUUUAAUGCAUAACAGGUCUCUAAAGAAUAUAAGAGAAAUAUCAAAGGACCAAAAGUGAAGGAGAAUUUGAAAUCAGACAUGAGUAGGCACCGGCGUUUCAGCUACUUUGGAGGUAACUGAAAUUCCAAUAACUGAGAAGUAGGGUUUUAACACCCACAUAUGGUUAGGAAAAAAGGACGGGCAAAUACUAAUAUUCCCAUAGAAGCCUGGGAUGCUAAAAAUGCUUCAUCUUCCUGUGAUAAAACAGACUAGGAUUUUUUUAAUGGCACCUCAGAUAUAAAGGUAGGUGGGGGGGGUUUAGGGUGCGGAAUCUACUUUGCUAUGAAUUCUGAAUAAAGGAAAAGAAAAGAAAAAAGUCCUCUAAGAAUUUAUAAAUAUAAUUCUCUGUUCAUAAGGGUCUAAGUUUGAAACUUGCAAUGUCUGCACAGUGCAAGAAACCCCAUGGUAAAAUACUUUCAGACGAAAGGUGGGCCUAGGCUGGUUAUACCUCAGGAGGGUCAGACAAAGGCAUUUUAAAACCUUAGCCUGGAUUCUUUAGAAAGCAGGGCCUGUGGCCAAGGGCUUUUUAGGCUACUACUCUUUUAGGGUCAGUGAGAAACAGGGAGUGAAUCUGGGAAGAAAGCAGAGCUGCCAGCAGGAGGACGUGCCGUGAGGUAUGCCCUGAGAAGUGCGGCUGCUUUCUUGAUGCUUCGGGGACUGUUCUUUGAGUAAGCACACAGCUACAUCUCACCCGUCUUCCCAGAAGAAGCCAGGGCAGCUCUAUUUCUUGGCUUUCAUGUUUCAUUUGUCAACAAGUACCCCAUGUUAACAAUCCCAAUGUCCCAGUGAUUGCUGAGCCUGGUCUUUCAGGUUCCAAACGCUGACACAAAAGGAAGCCCUGGACAAGAGACAAAAGGCAAGUGGCGUGAGCAUGCAGCUAGGCGAGGUGCAGUGUGUCUAUCUACAUGGAGCCUGUAGGAGCCCAGGGAGAGCUAGUGACCUCAGUGACAGGGGGAAUAAGAGGCAGUUUAGGCUGAGAGGCUCUGAAGUGGAGUGUAAGUAGUAUCAUGUUAACAUAUGCAUGAUUACCACAGACGAGAUCCCUUUUGACAAUGCAUCUGCAAUAUAACAUUAUAGAACACACGAAGAAGCAAACAUCAUGAGCAAAUACGCCAUGACAAAACUCAAGAAAACUUGUAUGACAAAUAUUCAGAUGCAUGUUUAAAAUCACUGUAUACGUGUAUACACAAUGGAAUACUGUUCAGCCACGGCAAAACCAAUACAGUAUUGUAAAGUAAAAUAAAGUUAAAAAAAUUAAAAAAGAAUGAAAUAAUGCUAUUUGCAACAAUGGAUGGACCUAGAGAAUAUUGUAAGUGAAGUAAGUCAGACAAAAGGCAAACACCACAUGAUAUCGUUUAUAUGUGGAAUCUAAACUAUGACACAAAUGGACAUAUCUAUGAAACAGAAAGAGACUCAGAUGCAGAGAAUAGACUUGUGGUUGCCAAGGUGGAGCAGGGGGAGGGGAGGGAUGGAUUGGGAGUUUGGGAUUAGCAGCUGCAAACUAGUGUAUAUAGGAUGCAUGAACAAUAAGGCCCUACUUUCCCCGGUGGCUCAGACGGUAAAGCAUCUGCCUACAAAGACAGAGACCGGGGUUCAGUCCCUGGGUUGGGAAGAUCUCCUGGAAAAGGAAAUGGCAACCCACUCCAAUAUUCUUGCCUGGAAAAUCCCAUGGACAGAGGAGCCUGGAGUCUACAGUCCAUGGGGUCUCAAAGAGUCGGACAUGACUGAGCGACUUCACUUCACUUUAUAGCACAGGGAACUAUAUUCAAUAUCUUGCUACAAACCAUAAUGGAAAAGAAUAUGCAAAUGAAUGUAGAUAUAUGUAUAACUGAACUACUUUACUGUGUAGCAAAAGUUAACACAACAUUAUAAAUCAACUGUAUUUCAAUACAAUUUUUUUUAAAUCACUAUAUAUGGUGAAGCAAAGAGAAACAAUCCUAAAAUCAAACUUCCACAUAAUUUAUGUAUGUACUACCCCCUCCCUCUUAAUGCACUCCUUCUGUCCUUAAAUGUAGGCUGGGCUUAAUGAUUUGCUUCAAAAAACCAUGGGGUGAAAAGGAGUGGACACAUGGAGAAACACAGCAAGAAUCCCCUAGGUCAUCUGAUCAAAGUUAACAUCAUCAUUGAUAAGUCACAUCAACAGGACGCACGCUUGACGUGAUAUGAGAAUGGCUCUCUGUUAUGUGUGUGUGUGCUCAGUAAUCUGUGACCCUUCGGACUGCAGCCCACCAGGCUCCUCUGUCCAUGGGAUUGCCCAGGCAAGAAUACUGGAGUGGGUUGCCAUUUCCUCCUUUAGGGCAUCUUCCCAACCCAGGGAAUGACCCUGCAUCUUGUCCAUCUCCUGCAUUGCAUAAGGAUUCUUCACUGUUGAGCCACCUGGGAAGCCCAAUUCUGCCCAAACCCAGAACCCAUAUUCCACCUUGGAAAAACCAACAGAUAAAAAGUAAAUAAGAAAUAUUAUAAAAUACCUAAGUAAUACUCUUCAAAACUGGCAUAAUGAGCAAAAGCUGUCACUAGUUUAGAGGAGCCCAGGAAACAUAAUGACUAAGUACAAUGUGGUCUCCUGGAUGGACGCUGAGUAGGAAACUUGUGAAGUCCAAAGGAAGUGUUAUGUUUACUCAAUAGCAAUAUACCAGCUUUGAUUCCCUAGUUGUGACAAAUAUACUGAAGGAAAAAAAUACCAUAAUACAUGACGUUGAGUAAUGUCUUCAGAAGACAAUCACUUAAUAGUGGGCUUAAAUUAGCCCCAGGAUAAAGGCCAGACACCACAUAAAGCUUGAAAGUAAGUUUAGAAAUGAAUAUACUGUCCCAAAACAAAGUUUGAAAGUGUUUAAAGGAACAGAACAAAUUCCAGCACCCCCAGAAUAUAAAAUUUAGAAUGUCCAGAACUCAGUAAAAAAUUACUGGGCACAAAAAAGCAGCAAUAUAUCCCCAUACAUUC